GACGAACGCUGGCGGCGUGCUUAACACAUGCAAGUCGAACGAUAAAGCCGAGAAACUCUGACUUCGUCUCAAAUUUAACUUGGGAUUAGUGGCAGACGAGCGUGUACCGCGUGAUCAACCUACCUCUUGCAACGGGGUCGCCUCCCGGAACCGUGCUUCUUACCCUAUGACACAUUCGUAAAGUAUCUGCGGAAUGUUAAAGAGACGGGGGUAAGCGGUGGGCUCGUGUCCCAUUGGCUAGGCGGUGAGGUAACGGCACACCAGGGCGACGAUGUGGACCUGGGAGGGGAGGGUGAACCGUCACGUUGGAACUGAGGCACGGUCCACACUCGUACGGGAGGGAGCAGUGGGUAAUACUGCACAAUGGAGGGAGCUCUGAUGCAGCGACGCCGCGUGAGCGAUGAAGGAAUUCGUAUAGUAAAGCUCUGUUCUAUGGGAAGAGAAUGACGGUACCAGAUGAGAAAGCCCCGGCUAAAUACGUG
rnacentral:rRNA from 1 species